rnacentral:tRNA from 1 species
UCCGGGGUAGCUCAGUUGGCAGAGCACUCGACUGUUAAUCGAGUUGUCGCGGGUUCGAGCCCCGCCCCCGGAG